UACGAUCGAAGUUCAAAGCUCGACGUUACGUCAUCGUUAGAUCUAAUAGCGCAUUAAAUGCAUUCGAUGACAUAAAAUUAUUAUAUAGUAACAAUUAUGUACAUUUAUGUACAGUUAUGUCUGUUCGAAACAUAAGGUUUGGUGAUAUAAGUCUCUCGUUAAUAUUUGUUAAUACGGAGAUAUCGAAGUCUCUUAUCGAUUAAUAUGUAAUACACACCCGAAGACACGGAGGAAGCUCGUUGCUGUAUGCGUGGAGAAGCCAGUUAAGUCGCUGAAUAAUUACAAAUGUGACAUUGCUAAAGAAAAAA
rnacentral:misc_RNA from 1 species